UACAGAGGUCUCAAGCGUUGUUCGGAUUCAUUGGGCGUAAAGGGCGCGUAGGCUGCGGGGCAAGUCGGGUGUGAAAUCUCAGAGCUCAACUCUGAAACUGCACUCGAUACUGCUUUGCUCGAGGACUGGAGAGGAGAUUGGAAUUCACGGUGUAGCAGUGAAAUGCGUAGAUAUCGUGAGGAAGACCAGUGGCGAAGGCGGAUCUCUGGACAGUGCCUGACGCUGAGGCGCGAAGGCCAGGGGAGCAAACGGG
rnacentral:rRNA from 1 species